rnacentral:rRNA from 1 species
UACGGGGGGGGCAAGCGUUGUUCGGAAUUACUGGGCGUAAAGGGUUUGUAGGUGGCUUGUUAAGUCAGACGUGAAAUCCCUCAGCUUAACUGGGGAACUGCGUCUGAUACUGGUGAGCUUGAGUGCAGGAGAGGAACGCGGAAUUCCAGGUGUAGCGGUGAAAUGCGUAGAUAUCUGGAGGAAUACCGGUGGCGAAGGCGGCAUCCUGGACCGACAUUGACGCUGAGGAGCGAAAGCUAGGGGAGCAAACGGG